CAGGUUUCCAGCCGCGGGAGGCAGAGGGUGGUGCUGGGGUUCCAGGAAGCCGAAGGUCCUUUCACAGAUGGACCGUUAAGCCAGCCCAGGGGACGGCAGAGCAGCCUGAGGGAGCAAGAACUGUCACCACGGUCUGCCCGCGAAGUAGGUCCACACUGUCCCUUGCAGGCACUGAGGUGAUGCUGGGGUUGCAGUGAGCUGUCAAACUAGAUGUGUCAGAAAUGAGAAAGGAGAUGAGAGAACAAAUUAGAAUACAGAGUGAUCGACACUUUGAUGAAGGAAGUAAGUGGAGCCUGGGGUCCAUGAAACCCACUGCCAAACCAACCCAGACAGAGACAAAGUAUCCCUAUGUUUCCCAGGCUGAUCUCAAACUCCUGGCCUGAACUGACCUCCUGCCUCAACCGACCUCCUGCCUCAACCUCCAAAGCACUGGGAUUAACAGCAUAAGCCACUGUGCCCAGCCUAAUUUUUACUUUUCAACUUUGUACGUUGCGGUGUUUUUAAUACCCCUGCCAAGACCACAGUUUUAGGGGCACUAAAGAGCAGAGAUGCAUUUCAGAAGGGACCACUCGGACUGCACCCCAACAGGCUUUGUGAAACCAAUGAUCUGGGCUCAAAAUUAGAUUCUGGAUUACAUCAGGAAAGCCAGCUACCUUCAGAGGAUAGGGGAUGGGAGGGAGAGUUAAGGACUCAGUGUGACAUUACAAGCAUCCUGGGUGGAACUGCAAGACAUAGUUAUUUCAAGAUUAUGAAGAGUGUGGUAGCCAAACUCCAAGAUGGCCGCAUGAUCCCUCCUCCAGGUACUCGUGCCCUUGUAUGGUAUGCUCCCACAGUCUUCCGAGGAUUCCGUUGUAUGACUGAUCGAAUACAGCAGAGGCGAUGGCAUAGGACAUCUGAGGCUACAUCAUCUAAGGGAUACACAGGAAUUCACUCCCAUCCUCCCAUGUGGCUUCUACUUUGCUCUUAAUCUCUCAGAUCUCUCACCCUGGCAGACACCAUCCACCAUGUCCUGAGGACACUCAAGCAGCUCUGUGGCCUCCUGACAAUAGCUGUUAGGUGAAACACCUUGGGUGCAGACCCUCUAGCCCCACUCCAGCCUUCAGAAGACAGCAGCCCCAGCUCACAUGGGACCCUGAGCCAGACCACCAAGCAAACCACUCCCAGAUUCCUGACCCACAGAAACUGUGAGAUAAUGAAAGUCUGCUGUUAGAAGUCACUAAGUUCAGUGUAACUGUCACGGGCAAGAGACAGCCAAUACAAUACUUUCGUGCUUCAUACAUCAUUUUUCCAUCUAUCCAAAAUGGGAAGAAUACUUCACAGACUUGAUGUGAAGCUGCAAGACUCCUGGUACUCCACUGAUGCAGUGUGGCUACCAGCAAAUGCU
rnacentral:lncRNA from 1 species